UUCUUAUCGAGAGAGGCAGAGGGACUGGCCCGAUGAAGCCCGGCAGCCUGAAUAAUAUAGAAUAUAUUAUUUAAAGGUGCCAAAUCCUGCAAACCAUGAUGGUUUGAGAGAUAAGAA
rnacentral:ncRNA from 2 species